UACGGAGGGUGCAAGCGUUAAUCGGAAUUACUGGGCGUAAAGAGUGCGUAGGUGGUUGAAUAAGUUAUCUGUGAAAUCCCCGGGCUUAACCUGGGCAGGUCAGAUGAUACUGUUUAACUCGAGUAUGGGAGAGGGUAGUGGAAUUUCCGGUGUAGCGGUGAAAUGCGUAGAGAUCGGAAGGAACACCAGUGGCGAAGGCGGCUACCUGGCCUAAUACUGACACUGAGGCACGAAAGCGUGGGGAGCAAACAGG
rnacentral:rRNA from 1 species